rnacentral:piRNA from 1 species
UGGGUNCGGGUGCUGUGAAGGUAAGCUGA